rnacentral:tRNA from 1 species
GGGGAUAUAGCUUAGUGGUAGAGUACUUGCCUAGCAUGUGUGAGGCCCUGGGUUUGAUCCCUAGCACCUCCC